GAAUGCUGACAUAAGUAACGAUAAAGCGGGUGAAAAGCCCGCUCGCCGGAAGACCAAGGGUUCCUGUCCAACGUUAAUCGGGGCAGGGUGAGUCGACCCCUAAGGCGAGGCCGAAAGGCGUAGUCGAUGGGAAACGGGUUAAUAUUCCCGUACUUGGUGUUACUGCGAAGGGGGGACGGAGAAGGCUAUGUUGGCCGGGCGACGGUUGUCCCGGUUUAAGCGUGUAGGUGUGUGUUCCAGGUAAAUCCGGUUCACUUUAACACUGAGGCGUGACGACGAGGCACUACGGUGCUGAAGCAACAAAUGCCCUGCUUCCAGGAAAAGCCUCUAAGCAUCAGGUAACAUCAAAUCGUACCCCAAACCGACACAGGUGGUCAGGUAGAGAAUACCAAGGCGCUUGAGAGAACUCGGGUGAAGGAACUAGGCAAAAUGGUGCCGUAACUUCGGGAGAAGGCACGCUGACACGUAGGUGAAGUGAUUUACUCAUGGAGCUGAAGUCAGUCGAAGAUACCAGCUGGCUGCAACUGUUUAUUAAAAACACAGCACUGUGCAAACACGAAAGUGGACGUAUACGGUGUGACGCCUGCCCGGUGCCGGAAGGUUAAUUGAUGGGGUCAGCGCAAGCGAAGCUCCUGAUCGAAGCCCCGGUAAACGGCGGCCGUAACUAUAACGGUCCUAAGGUAGCGAAAUUCCUUGUCGGGUAAGUUCCGACCUGCACGAAUGGCGUAAUGAUGGCCAGGCUGUCUCCACCCGAGACUCAGUGAAAUUGAACUCGCUGUGAAGAUGCAGUGUACCCGCGGCAAGACGGAAAGACCCCGUGAACCUUUACUAUAGCUUGACACUGAACAUUGAGCCUUGAUGUGUAGGAUAGGUGGGAGGCUUUGAAGUGUGGACGCCAGUCUGCAUGGAGCCGACCUUGAAAUACCACCCUUUAAUGUUUGAUGUUCUAACGUGGACCCGUUACCCGGGUUGCGGACAGUGUCUGGUGGGUAGUUUGACUGGGGCGGUCUCCUCCUAAAGAGUAACGGAGGAGCACGAAGGUUGGCUAAUCCUGGUCGGACAUCAGGAGGUUAGUGCAAUGGCAUAAGCCAGCUUGACUGCGAGCGUGACGGCGCGAGCAGGUGCGAAAGCAGGUCAUAGUGAUCCGGUGGUUCUGAAUGGAAGGGCCAUCGCUCAACGGAUAAAAGGUACUCCGGGGAUAACAGGCUGAUACCGCCCAAGAGUUCAUAUCGACGGCGGUGUUUGGCACCUCGAUGUCGGCUCAUCACAUCCUGGGGCUGAAGUAGGUCCCAAGGGUAUGGCUGUUCGCCAUUUAAAGUGGUACGCGAGCUGGGUUUAGAACGUCGUGAGACAGUUCGGUCCCUAUCUGCCGUGGGCGCUGGAGAACUGAGGGGGGCUGCUCCUAGUACGAGAGGACCGGAGUGGACGCAUCACUGGUGUUCGGGUUGUCAUGCCAAUGGCACUGCCCGGUAGCUAAAUGCGGAAGAGAUAAGUGCUGAAAGCAUCUAAGCACGAAACUUGCCCCGAGAUGAGUUCUCCCUGAGACUUAAAGUCUCCUGAAGGAACGUUGAAGACGACGACGUUGAUAGGCCGGGUGUGUAAGCGCAGCGAUGCGUUGAGCUAACCGGUACUAAUGA
rnacentral:rRNA from 1 species